GCACAGAGUUAGCCGGGGUUUCUUCCCUCGAUACUGUCACCCCGCCGGCAUGUUAGGCCGGCGAGAAUUCAUCUCGGUCGAAAGGAGUUUACGACCCGAAAGUCUUCAUCCUCCACGCGGCGUUGCGUCAUCAGGCUUGCGCCCAUUGUGAACAAUUCCCCACUGCUGCCUCCCGUAGGAGUCUGGACCGUGUCUCAGUUCCAGUGUGUCCGUCCGCCCUCUCAGGCCGGAUACCGAUCGGAGCCUUGGUGAGCCGUUACCUCACCAACUAGCUAAUCGGACGCGGGCCCCUCUCCAAGCGCCAGGUCUUGCGAUCCCCGGCUUUGAUGUCCGUGUAUCCAAACACGGGAUGUCAUGCGGUAUUAGCCCUCCUUUCGGAAGGUUAUCCCCCACUCAGAGGUAGGUCGCCCACGCGUUACUCACCCGUUUGCCACUCUACUCAUGGAUUGCUCCACUUUCGCGUUCGACUUGCAUGUGUUAGGCACGCCGCCAGCGUUGAUU
rnacentral:rRNA from 1 species